GACGAACGCUGGCGGCGUGCUUAACACAUGCAAGUCGAACGGAAAGGCCCUGCUUUUGUGGGGUGCUCGAGUGGCGAACGGGUGAGUAACACGUGAGUAACCUGCCCUUGACUUUGGGAUAACUUCAGGAAACUGGGGCUAAUACCGGAUAGGAGCUCCUGCUGCAUGGUGGGGGUUGGAAAGUUUCGGCGGUUGGGGAUGGACUCGCGGCUUAUCAGCUUGUUGGUGGGGUAGUGGCUUACCACGGCUUUGACGGGUAGCCGGCCUGAGAGGGUGACCGGCCACAUUGGGACUAAGAUACGGCCCAGACUCCUACGGGCGGCAGCAGUGGGAAAUAUUGCACAAUGGGCGGAAGCCUGAUACAGCCACGCCGCGUGCGGGAUGCCGGCCUUCGGGUUGUAAACCGCUUUCGCCUGUGACGAAGCGUGAGUGACGGUAAUGGGUAAAGAAGCACCGGCUAACUACGUG
rnacentral:rRNA from 1 species